AGCAGCCGCCGCGGGAAUACGAAGGGUGCAAGCGUUACUCGGAAUUACUGGGCGUAAAGCGUGCGUAGGUGGUGGUUUAAGUCCGUUGUGAAAGCCCUGGGCUCAACCUGGGAAUUGCAGUGGAUACUGGGUCACUAGAGUGUGGUAGAGGAUAGUGGAAUUUCCGGUGUAGCAGUGAAAUGCGUAGAGAUCGGAAGGAACAUCUGUGGCGAAGGCGACUAUCUGGGCCAACACUGACACUGAGGCACGAAAGCGUGGGGAGCAAACAGGAUUAGAGACCCCCGUAGUCCCUGUCUCUUAUAA
rnacentral:rRNA from 1 species